GGGAGAGGUUCACCAUUUGUGAAGAUGGCGGCUGGGCCCAGUGCAUCUCUGGGGGCUCGGGCAGCCAGUGCUGCCAUGAGAACUAUCUCUGGAGGACACACAGGAGGCCUGGACUCUGAGGUAAGGGGCUGCCAAGCUCAGACCAGAGGAACCCCCACACUGCAGAGGCCACCUGACAAUGCUAAUGUCCACUUGAACAGCAGUGAGACAUCACGCACGCUAACACAUUGCACACUAACACACAUCACACACGAAAACACAUCACACAAGCACACAUCACGCACGCUAACACACAUCACACACUAACACACAUCACACACUAACACACAUCACACGUGCUAAAACACAUCACACAAGCACACAUCACACACACUAACACAUCACACACACGAAAACACAUCACACAAGCACACAUCACACACACUAACACAUCACACACACAAAAACACAUCACACAAGCACACAUCACACACGCUAACACACAUCACACACUAACACACAUCACACACUAACACACAUCACACGUGCUAAAACACGUCACACAAGCACACAUCACACACACUAACACAUCACACACACAAAAACACAUCACACAAGCACACAUCACACACGCUAACACACAUCACACAAACACACAUCACACACACUAACACAUCACACACACAAAAACACAUCACACAAGCACACAUCACACACGCUAACACAUCACACAAACACACAUCACACACACUAACACAUCACACAAGCACACAUCACACACGCUAACACACAUCACACACUAACACACACAUCACACACUAACACACAUCACACGUGCUAAAACACAUCACACAAGCACACAUCACACACACUAACAAUCACACACACGAAAACACAUCACACAAGCACACAUCACACACGCUAACACACAUCACACAAACACACAUCACACAUGCUAACAGGUAACACAUUAACACAUCACACACUAACACAUCACACAUGCCAAAACACAUCACACAUACUAACACACCACACCAACACACACCACACCCACCAACACACACCACACCCACUAACACACAUCACACAUGCUAACACAUCACACAC
rnacentral:lncRNA from 1 species